AGGUAAGCCGUCACCCGACGCCACCCUACGCCUCUUUUGUGGCUUGAGAUCCUCUCUGUUGUUGAUCCAAGCUCAUGGUUCUGGUAGGUGACAGCGACCAAGGAUGGUGGUGCAACGUGGCUAUGCAGUCCGGCAAGCACGUGUAUGUAGGACGGUGUGGCGGAUGAAUGUACAGUUUUGUUCACUUAUUCAUUUUUGGGGUGGAUAAUUUCAGCCCAGAUGGCUACUAGUUUUAUGUCUAUUCUUGAGCUUCAGGUUGUAGUUCAUGAGCUAGCAGCAUGCAGCGCGCUGCUGCGGUCGACAAAAAACGUCAAUUUGUUUCUCGGGAUGUUCAUUUGAAGUUCACUCAUGUUUAUAUUUUCUUCUGGAAAAUCAUUUGCAGUGCGCUCAGUAAGAAAAAGAAGAGAACAUCGAUAUCCAUUCAAGUUUCAUUUUGUUGUUUUGAGAAAUGCAGAGUGAAAAGAGUAGUAAAAAUGGAUGUAGGUUGGUUUAAAAAAGCACUUCGUUUUGGAAAUCAGUAUAUCCACGAAAGUCACAUUGGUUUAAAAUGGAUGUAGAUUGGUUUAAAAAAGCACUUCGUUUUGGAAAUCA
rnacentral:lncRNA from 1 species